rnacentral:ncRNA from 2 species
UAAAUGCACUAUCUGGUACGACAG